GGAAACGGCAAGAAGAACUUUAAAGAUUUCACUUUCUUGUCAUCUCUUAUACAUUUUUUGCUUUUUCCUAUCAAGGGAAGAAACAAAAGAAAGUUUACUUGAAUACAGCUUAAAAUGAGUUCACUCUCAGCUUAUCUGAUUUGAUCAAUGGUGACUUAAUGCCAGACUUGCGGUGUUUCAGGUUUACAGAUUUUUUUAAAUCAGUGUGUCCUCAAAGUUGAAAGAGUUGGAAUCUCUAGCCCCACCUUACGCUUGAAAGGCCUGAAGUUUUGGAUAGUACUAUUAACUCUUGGAGUGAAUGCAAGGACAGUUUUAA
rnacentral:lncRNA from 1 species